rnacentral:rRNA from 1 species
CCUACGGGAGACAGCAGUGGGGAAUAUUGGACAAUGGGGGAAACCCUGAUCCAGCGACGCCGCGUGAGUGAAGAAGUAUUUCGGUACGUAAAGCUCUAUCAGCAGGAAAGAAAAUGACGGUACCUGACUAAGAAGCCCCGGCUAACUACGUGCCAGCAGCCGCGGUAAUACGUAGGGGGCAAGCGUUAUCCGGCUUUACUGGGUGUAAAGGGAGCGUAGACGGCAGCGCAAGUCUGGAGUGAAAUGCCGGGGCUCAACCCCGGAACUGCUCUGGAAACUGUGAAGCUGGAGUGCAGGAGAGGUAAGCGGAAUUCCUGGUGUAGCGGUGAAAUGCGUAGAUAUCAGGAGGAACACCGGCGGCGAAGGCGGCUUACUGGACUGUAACUGACGUUGAGGCUCGAAGGCGUGGGGAGCAAACAGGAUUAGAUACCCCAGUAGUC